UACGUAGGGUCCGAGCGUUGUCCGGAAUUAUUGGGCGUAAAGGGCUCGUAGGCGGUUGUCGCGUCGGGAGUGAAACACGGGGCUUAACCCCGUGCCUGCUUCCGAUACGGGCAGACUAGAGGUAUGCAGGGGAGAACGGAAUUCCUGGUGUAGCGGUGAAAUGCGCAGAUAUCAGGAGGAACACCGGUGGCGAAGGCGGUUCUCUGGGCAUUACCUGACGUGAGGAGCGAAAGUGUGGGGGAGCGAACAGG
rnacentral:rRNA from 1 species